rnacentral:rRNA from 1 species
AUGGAGAUGGUGGAGAAGCUUUCUCUCACCACAAGACCACAUCCACAUCCUUACUACAUCCAAUGGUUCAACAACAGUGGCAAGGUUAAGGUAACACGUACUGUUCGUGUGCAUUUUAGUAUCUCUACAUAUGCUGAUUAUGUUGAUUGUGAUGUGGUACCUAUGCAAGCAUGUUCCUUAUUACUUGGUAGACCAUGGCAAUUUGAUAAAAAUUCUGUACACCAUGGUAGAAACAAUCACUAUACUCUUGUUCAUAAGGAUAAAAAUAUUACUUUGCUUCCUAUGACUCCUGAUUCCAUUUUGAAAGAUGAUAUUAAUAGAGCUAAUAAAGCAAAACAGGAGACGAAUAAGAGUGAAAAUCAGAUUGUGGCAAAAGAAUUUGAGCAACAAAUGAAGCCUAACAAUAAACCAUCUAGUGUUGCUUCUGAAAUUAAAUUGAAAAGUGCAUGUUUAUUUGCCACCAAAUCUGAUAUUGAUGAGCUAGUUUUCAGCAAAUCUGUUUGCUAUGCUUUUGUGUGCAAAGAGGCAUUAUUUUCAUUCGAGGACGUGCCUUCCUCUUUGCCCCCUGCUGUCACUAACAUUUUGCAGGAGUUCGCUGACGUCUUUCCACAAGACGUGCCACCGGGAUUACCGCCUAUUCGAGGGAUUGAGCAUCAGAUUGACUUAAUUCCCGUUGCUUCACUGCCAAACCGUGCACCAUACCGUACCAAUCCAGAGGAGACGAAGGAGAUUAUGCGCCAAGUACAAGAGCUUCUCGACAAAGGUUAUAUACGCGAAUCCCUUAGUCCUUGUGCUGUUCCUAUUAUUCUAGUGCCGAAAAAGGAUGGUACAUCACGUAUGUGUGUUGAUUGUAGAGGCAUUAAUAAUAUUACUAUUCGUUAUCGUCAUCCUAUUCCUAGGCUAGAUGAUAUGCUUGAUGAAUUGAGUGGCUCUACAAUAUUCUCCAAAGUUGAUUUGCGUAGUGGCUACCAUCAAAUUCGUAUGAAAUUGGGAGAUGAAUGGAAAACAGCAUUUAAAACUAAGUUUGGAUUAUAUGAGUGGUUAGUCAUGCCUUUUGGGUUAACUAAUGCACCUAGUACUUUCAUGAGAUUAAUGAACGAAGUUUUACGUGCUUUCAUUGGACGAUUUGUGGUAGUUUACUUUGAUGACAUAUUGAUUUAUAGCAGAUCUUUGGAAGAACAUUUGGAACAUUUACGUGCUGUUUUUAUUGCUCUACGUGAUGCACGUUUGUUUCGUAACCUUGGGAAGUGCACCUUUUGCAUCGACCGAGUAUCUUUUCUUGGCUAUGUUGUUACUCCACAGGGAAUUGAAGUUGAUAAAGCCAAGAUUGAAGCUAUUGAGAGUUGGCCGCAGCCCAAAACGGUCACACAAGUGAGGAGUUUUCUUGGCCUCGCUGGAUUCUAUAGGCCUUUUGUGAGAGAUUUGAGCACCAUUGCUGCACCUCUCAAUGAGCUUACAAAGAAAGAUGUGCCUUUUCUUUGGGGUACCGCACAGGAAGAAGCCUUCACGGUAUUGAAAGAUAAGUUGACACAUGCUCCUUUACUCCAACUUCCUGAUUUUAAUAAGACUUUUGAGCUUGAAUGUGAUGCUAGUGGAAUUGGAUUAGGCGGUGUGUUAUUACAAGAUGGCAAACCUGUUGCAUACUUUUCUGAAAAAUUGAGUGGGCCUAGUCUGAAUUAUUCUACUUAUGAUAAAGAAUUAUAUGCUCUUGUUCGGACUUUAGAAACAUGGCAACAUUAUUUAUGGCCCAAAGAAUUUGUUAUACAUUCUGAUCAUGAAUCUUUGAAACAUAUUAAAAGUCAAGCUAAACUGAACCGUAGACAUGCUAAAUGGGUUGAAUUCAUUGAGACUUUUCCUUAUGUCAUUAAACACAAGAAGGGAAAAGAAAAUGUUAUUGCUGAUGCAUUGUCUCGCCGCUAUACUAUGCUUUCACAACUUGACUUCAAAAUAUUUGGUUUGGAAACCAUCAAAGAUCAAUAUCUGCAUGAUGCUGAUUUUAAAGAUGUAAUGCAGAAUUGUAAAGAAGGAAGAAUGUGGAACAAGUUUGUUGUUAACGAUGGAUUUGUGUUUCGUGCUAACAAGCUAUGCAUUCCAGCUAGCUCCGUUCGUCUUUUGUUGUUGCAGGAGGCGCAUGGAGGAGGAUUAAUGGGACACUUUGGCGUGAAGAAGACGGAGGACGUACUUGCUACACAUUUCUUUUGGCCAAAGAUGAGACGGGAUGUUGAGCGUUUUAUUGCUCGCUGCACUACAUGUCAAAAAGCUAAGUCACGACUCAAUCCUCAUGGUUUAUAUAUGCCUUUGCCUGUACCUAGUGUUCCUUGGGAGGAUAUAUCUAUGGACUUUGUUUUAGGUUUACCUCGAACAAAGAAGGGGAGGGAUAGCAUAUUUGUUGUCGUGGAUAGAUUCUCGAAAAUGGCACACUUUAUACCAUGUCAUAAAAGCGAUGAUGCUGCUAAUGUUGCUAAUUUGUUCUUUCGUGAAAUUAAUCGUGAUACUAAAUUUCUUAGCCACUUUUGGAGAUGUUUAUGGGCUAAGUUGGGGACUAAACUGCUUUUUAGUACUACUUGUCACCCCCAAACUGAUGGACAAACUGAAGUAGUCAAUAGAACGUUGUCUACUAUGCUUAGGGCUGUUUUGAAGAAUAAUAAGAAAAUGUGGGAGGAAUGCUUGCCUCAUAUUGAAUUUGCUUAUAAUCGUUCAAUGCAUUCUACUACUAAGAUGUGCCCUUUUGAAGUUGUGUAUGGUUUCCUACCUCGUGCACCUAUUGAUUUGUUGCCUCUUCCAUCUUCGGAGAAGGUUAAUUUUGAUGCUAAACAACGUGCUGAAUUGAUUUUAAAAAUGCAUGAGUUAACUAAGGAAAACAUUGAGCGCAUGAAUGCUAAAUAUAAACUUGCUGGAGAUAAGGGUAGAAAACAUGUUGUGUUUGCACCUGGAGAUCUUGUUUGGUUACAUUUGCGCAAGGAUAGAUUUCCUGAUUUGCGCAAAUCAAAGUUAAUGCCACGUGCUGAUGGUCCCUUUAAGGUGUUAGAGAAAAUAAAUGAUAAUGCAUAUAAACUUGAGCUGCCUGCAGAUUUUGGGGUUAGUCCCACUUUUAACAUUGCAGAUUUGAAGCCUUAUUUGGGUGAGGAAGAUGAACUUCCGUCGAGGACAACUUCAUUUCAAGAAGGGGAGGAUGAUGAGGACAUCAAUACAAUUGUUACACCCACAGCCCCUGCUGCUAUACAUACUGGACCAAUUACUAGAGCUCGUGCACGCCAACUAAAUUACCAGUUUCUUGCUUGUUCUUCAUUUGCUCGCAGGAAACAGACCCUCGUGGUCAGGUUGAUCAUGCUCCGGUGUGGUCAAUAA